CAGCAGCCGCGGUAAUACGUAGGGUGCGAGCGUUAAUCGGAAUUACUGGGCGUAAAGCGUGCGCAGGCGGUUGUGUAAGACAGGUGUGAAAUCCCCGGGCUUAACCUGGGAACUGCGCUUGUGACUGCACAGCUAGAGUAUGGCAGAGGGGGGUGGAAUUCCACGUGUAGCAGUGAAAUGCGUAGAGAUGUGGAGGAACACCGAUGGCGAAGGCAGCCCCCUGGGCCGAUACUGACGCUCAUGCACGAAAGCGUGGGGAGCAAACAGGAUUAGAUACCCAGUAGUCCCUGUCUCUUAUACC
rnacentral:rRNA from 1 species